UACGUAGGUGGCAAGCGUUUGUCCGGAUUUAUUGGGUUUAAAGGGUGCGUAGGCGGUCUUUUAAGUCAGUGCUGAAAUACUCCAGCUUAACUGGAGGGGUGGCAUUGAUACUGGAAGACUUGAGUGCAGUCGAAGUAGGCGGAAUUGACGGUGUAGCGGUGAAAUGCUUAGAUAUCGUCAAGAACACCGAUAGUGAAGACAGCUUACUAGGCUGCAACUGACGCUGAGGCACGAAAGUGUGGGGAUCAAACAGG
rnacentral:rRNA from 1 species